rnacentral:tRNA from 1 species
AGCUACGUAGCUCAGCUGGUUAGAGCACAUCACUCAUAAUGAUGGGGUCACAGGUUUCGAAUCCCGUCGUAGCCACCA